rnacentral:rRNA from 1 species
CGUGUGGGCGGUUGGUCAAGUCGGGUGUGAAAGCCUGGGGCUCAGCCCCAGAAGUGCAUCCGAAACUAGCCAGCUGGAGCGCGAUAGAGGAGGGUGGAAUUCCUGGUGUAGCGGUGAAAUGCGUAGAUAUCAGGAGGAACACCGGCGGCGAAGGCGGCCCUCUGGAUCGUUGCUGACGCUGAGACGCGAAAGCGUGGGGAGCAAACAGGAUUAGAUACCCUGGUAGUCCACGCCUUAAACGAUGGGUACUAGGUGUUCGGGGUGUUGACCCCCUGAGUGCCGCAGUUAACGCAUUAAGUACCCCGCCUGGGGACUACGGCCGCAAGGUUAAA